rnacentral:rRNA from 1 species
ACAAAAGUGAGCAAGGGAAAUAUUUAUAGCUCUAGGAUCGGCCUGUACGGUAUCAGCUAGUUGGUGAGGUAAUGGCUCACCAAGGCAAUGACACCUAACUGGUUUGAGAGGAUGAUCAGUCACACUGGAACUGAGACACGGUCCAGACUCCUACGGGAGGCAGCAGUGGGGAAUAUUGCACAAUGGACGAAAGUCUGAUGCAGCAACGCCGCGUGGAGGAUGACACAUUUCGGUGCGUAAACUCCUUUUAUAUAGGAAGAUAAUGACGGUACUAUAUGAAUAAGCACCGGCUAACUCCGUGCCAGCAGCCGCGGUAAUACGGAGGGUGCAAGCGUUACUCGGAAUUACUGGGCGUAAAGAGCGUGUAGGCGGGUAAAUAAGUUGGAAGUGAAAUCCUAUGGCUCAACCAUAGAACUGCUUCCAAAACUGUUAACCUAGAAUGUGGGAGAGGUAGAUGGAAUUUCUGGUGUAGGGGUAAAAUCCGUAGAUAUCAGAAGGAAUACCGAUUGCGAAGGCGAUCUACUGGAACACUAUUGACGCUGAGACGCGAAAGCGUGGGGAGCAAACAGGAUUAGAUACCCUGGUAGUCCACGCCCUAAACGAUGUACACUAGUUGUUGUGAGGCUAGACCUUGCAGUAAUGCAGUUAACACAUUAAGUGUACCGCCUGGGGAGUACGGUCGCAAGAUUAAAACUCAAAGGAAUAGACGGGGACCCGCACAAGCGGUGGAGCAUGUGGUUUAAUUCGAUAUACGCGAAGAACCUUACCUGGUCUUGACAUAGAAAGAACUUUCCAGAGAUGGAUUGGUGCCUGCUUGCAGGAGCUUUCAUACAGGUGCUGCACGGCUGUCGUCAGCUCGUGUCGUGAGAUGUUGGGUUAAGUCCCGCAACGAGCGCAACCCUCGUCGUUAGUUGCUAACAGUUCGGCUGAGAACUCUAACGAGACUGCCUACGCAAGUAGGAGGAAGGUGAGGACGACGUCAAGUCAUCAUGGCCCUUACGACCAGGGCUACACACGUGCUACAAUGGGGUAUACAAAGAGCAGCAAUACGGUGACGUGGAGCGAAUCUCAAAAAUGCCUCCCAGUUCGGAUAGUAGUCUGCAACUCGACUACUUGAAGUUGGAAUCGCUAGUAAUCGUAGAUCAGCUAUGCUACGGUGAAUACGUUCCCGGGUCUUGUACUCACCGCCCGUCACACCAUGGGAGUUGAAUUCAUUCGAAGCGGGGAUGCUAAAAUAGCUACCUUCCACA